AGUGGGACCAGGAGGAGAGGAGGGGGGCACUGCAAUGGGGCUGUAAAGUGAAUGAGUUAAAAAGCCCCUCCAAAACACACACCAACUACACCCAGGCCGGGAUGUACUUCACAUUCACUUGAGAUAAUUGUUGUUCAUUUGUGGGGCUUCUGUUUUCAAGACGGGGUUUCUCUGUGUAGCCCUGGCUGUCCUGGAACUGACUAUGUAGACCAGGCUGCUCUGGAACUGAGAUCCACCUGCCUCCUUGGAUGUUGAGAUUAAAGGUGUGGGCCAUCACCUGGCUCAUUUGUGGCUUUGCUGUGGGUUGUGUUAACUCUCCUGUGCUUAUCAUAGUCCAAAGACCGAAUGGAAUGGGUACCUGUAUGCACGUUCCGGUUUGUCAAGUGGCCCUGCACAAAGAUGAAGCAGAAGAAACUGGAUAUCCAGCUGGAGAUCAACCCUGCCCCGAGGAACUCAAAGUCUCUAAUCGGCAGGAAGUAGUCUAAAUAGAAGUAGCCCUCUUUCUCCUCUAACCUUCGUUCUCACCUACCUAGUGCUGGGGAUUUGGAGGGAAUUAGGGUGGAAGAAGGGUUUGAAGGGUGGUAGAUAUAAGAACCCAAAUAAAAAAAAAAUAAACAAAAUCCAUCCUCCCCAAUAAAACCAGGAGCUAUAAGUGGUGCCCAUGUGGCUACGGAGAAUGGGAAUUCUAACGCUGUGAAGGAGAUGGCAGGAUCCAAAGGAACAAGUUGUUUGUUUCAGGAUGUCAGCGAGAAAGUUUAUCGUGACCAUUGCUGCUGAGUUCUUUCCCGCUUUGCUCCUAGAAGGGAUUUUAUGUUUUUGCUUUUCUUCCUAUAUUUUGUCUCAAAAAAGGGUUGGGAGAAUGUCUGAAUAACUGGAAAAAUUAUGAGUAGAAAUGGAGGGAUCUGAGAGGCAACUAGAGAGGUUGCAGGUGGAGAUGUGAAAGUGUUUGGGAAGUGGAUCGUGUCAGAACAAAGGGGUUCAGACCUGGUGGCUGAGAGAGGCAGUUUCCUGCAGGGUGACAGUGGGAAACGGACUCUGCACUUUCAAGUCCUCACAGCCCAGGGGCCAGAAAGCUAGGAGGAGGAGGCUGUACAGGGCAACAGGGUUAAAGAAAAACAGCCCCCUUUGAAAUAAAGGCUUAACUCUGAACAACUAUGCUGUCAGGGGCAGCCUGGAGUUGAGGUUACCACCAUUAGCUUUCCCAGUAUGCUGUCAGGGGCAGCCUGGAGUUGAGGUUACCACCAUUAGCUUUCCCAGUAGCGGCUAAAAGCAUCAGAUAUCAAAAUGCCCGGUGCACUAAAAGCGAGAAAUACGGUACUUUCCGAGUACCGAUUCAAAAAAGCCAGUUCUGGUGGCAAUGAGUUCCUGUUAACUUCUAGCUUCUUGGGGUUUGUGCCAUUGUACUAAUGAAUGUACGUCCAGAAGGGACAUCCAAGGUAAUCUCCUGCAAUCAGGAAGUGGCUUUGGAAGCCCUAGCUGGAGGCCCAGCAGCUAAAGUACAAGUUGUUUCAACAAGAACAGCUGAGAAUUAGCAGAUUAUGGAAAAAGUACUGAUCCAAAAGUGGUUGGUUCAUUGAUAAUGUCCUAACAAACAGGUAGAGGAACUGCAACUAAGUUUCCUUGACGAAAUAGCCACUGGCAGUUUUGGUCCUUUGCCUUCAGGGACAGUAGGCAUAUAAGGACAAAAAGGAUAGAUUAUUGUAUCUCCUUAAAGUUAAAGAGGGAAUGUAGGAAUGAUAGGACAAAAGGUGCAUUAUAUCUAAGAAAGCAACAAGUCUCAUAGUUUUACAUGGGUGUGGAUUAUUGUAUAAAUUUAAGGUUAUUUUCAACUCUUAAUGUAUUGUACAUAUGUGACUCAUGUAAAAAAAUGUAAAAUUAUAGUCUUAUGAAAGCUACUUACUGUAAAUUGUUUAGGGUAAUUAGAAACGCAGUUAGGAGUUAGUCACCUGUCUUGUUAAGUUCUAGUUAUUUAGCCUCCUGUAUACAUUUUCAAAGUUAAGCCGAUAGUAAAUACCUAGACACAAGCAACAAACAUCUAUUCAGAUAUGCUAUAGAUGCUCUUCAAACUCUUCAGAGAUCUACAGAAUUAUGGCAUUUAAGAUGUUUUAAUAAUAAAAGGCUUUUCUGACCGAGACAUAUCUGCUCCUGGCAGCACCCCAAUCUACUUCAAAUAUGAUGGGCACCGAAGAACCUCCACAUGGAGUUUGCUUCAAAGCUGGCCACUGGGUAAAAACCUGCCCUUAUCUCUACUACUGACAGCGAACUGUCCAAACUGUGGGCAAGCAGGACACUGGGAAAUUGACUGUCCAACUUUGCAGAGACAAGGUAGGCCAGUCCUUCAAAAUUCCUGCUUUACAGAUAAGUCUGUCAGAUUUUCUUGGCCUGAAGAUCGAAGAUUGGAUGUUCCAACAUUCCAGAGGAGUUCUGGGUGACUAUCCAGGCAAACAGCAGUCUCUUGUCAUUUCUAUAGUUUUGGAAGAUGCUUGCUCUGUAUUUCCUGUUUAUUCAGGUGUGGGGUAAGAGGCUGCUUCACAGCAGGAGAUUAUGAUUUGCCUCAUGCACUAGCAAGGGCGUGAUUUUGCCAGCUAAGGAUAGUUGACAUUUGGAAUUCUGAGAACUUUUCAGAGGGAAAAAAUGCCAGAGCCCUGAGAGGGGCUGGGUGUGCUCCAGAGGAGGUUAAUGCUCCUCCUGCUGUUGCUGUAGUAGUUUCGGUUUGUCAAGUGGUCCUGCACAAAGAGACAAAGUAGAAGAAAUUGGAUGUUUUGCUGGAGAAGAUCAACCCUGCCCCAAGGAACUCGACGCCCCUAAUCAGCAGGAAGUAGUCUAAAGAGAUCUACGUCCCCUUUCCCCUCUAAUCUUCUUUCCUACCUAGUGUUGGGGGUUUGGAAGGGUGGUAGAUAAAAUAGUUAAAAAUAAAAUAGUUAAACUAC